CGGGCGGCGGAGCGCGGGGGCUGGUUCCUGGUCCCCGGGAGAAGCCAAGAAGAUCUCGUCCCGGAUGAGAUGCAGCGGUUCCUGACUCUGGGUGACCUUGGGCGAGCCCCUCUCUUCCUUUCAUUAUGGAACACACGCUCUGUGCCAGACACUGUGUUAAACCCUUGGAUUACCACUAUGAGAGAUACAGUGGCAGCCUGCAUGGGGUUUUACAGGUCAACUCUGGAGGCAGACAGACUUGAGUUUCUGAUUGAUGACCAGGCGUUCCUCUGUUAUGCCAUUCCCUUGGGGUUUGGGUGAUGGCCGGAGAGAUCAGGAGAACCUAAAAGAAAUGCUGAACCACACCUGUGUGGGCAACACUGUUGCUGGUCUCUGGGGGAUACAGGGAUGGAUACAAUAGUUAUUGUCCUCAGGAAGCCUAUGGCAUAGAGAUACUGUACUCCUAAGGGUAGCUGACAGCUGCCUCCCCUCCCCCCCCCCCUUUUGGUAGGUCCUAGGUUCAAGAGAGACGGUUAUAUGUCUAGAUAGAAAUAAAAUGCUGUGGACAUUCAGCGUAAUUGAAUUACUCAUAAAUCGGGAUAUCCUGGAAAACUUCCUGAAGGAAGUGGCAUGUGCUUUGUAUCUUGAAAAAUAGGUAGAAUUGGGGCAUUGGAAAUGUGAUGAGCCAUGGGGCUGGGGAGGAUGGCAGUACCAAUGGCAUUAAAAGCGUCCACUCUGGAACUUGAGGUCCUUAUUCAGGGAACAUGGUCUGGAUCCCAGGUGUGUGACAGGCAGGAGUGUCACACAGGGACUAGAGGAGGAGGCUGGAGGCCUGUCACAAGACCUGUAGCCAUCUUGCUUUGGACUUACCGUGAGACAGUGGGGAGCUAUGAAAUGCUCUUAGGCAGAGAAGAGACAUCAAGGUUCUCCUUUGGAAAGAUGGCUCCCGCAAAAGCAUGGAUAGUAGUUUGCAAGAUUUGGAGGCAGAAGGCCCAGUUAGGAGGUUCAAGCCAGUAAAGGAGGUUCCUAGGUGACAGGUGUAGACAGACACUCACCCGGAAGCACCUGUCUAGAACCAGCUCACCUGGGCGUUGACUGCACAUUGUCCAAUAAUCUGAGUUCUGCAGAAACCUGCCUACCCUUUAAUGCAAUGUUCCCCCACAACCUUGGAGUCUAACUAAGGAAUCAUUGUGACCCAGACCGUAUCCACCUCCCAAGCCUCAUUUCCAUCUUCCAGAGCAGCCCCCAAAUCUGCAGCCAAACCUGUACCUCAUUGCAGGCGAAGUUUACUCACUCUCUCUCGCCCCUCAGGCUGCUCUCUGGGAUUUUUUUUGUGUUUUCUUAACACACUGCAGAGUGGGCUGUGCCCUAUCAUGUUCUGAAGAAAUGAUGAACAAUGCUUCCUUUGUUGACCUGCAACCUGGGCCAGUAGGGUAGGACUUUUCUUUCUUAUUUUAAACAGAUGGAGAAGUGGUGAUGACAGAAAAUUGUCUGUUGCUUUGGGAAGAUGUGGAGUUUUCCUGUGUGUUUGACAUCCUCUUGGUGAAAGGUAUCUGAAUGGUUUGUGGGUUUGGUUUAAAGCUAAAGAAAGGAGAAAGAGCGAGAGAAGAAGAAAAAAGAUUCCCUGCAGCCUGCCAGGGACGUGGUAGCUGCCCUGCCAAGAGCUAUCCUGGGAGGGCUAUUGAAAGAGCUUUGAGUACUUGAGCUGCUCUGCACCCAGCAUUUGGAUGGAGAAAGGGAUAGGGAAGAAAGCCAAGUGUCUGCCCAUAGAAGAGGAUUCAGGAAUGCUUGGAGCAAGAGUCUUGGUUGCCAUGCAGAGGCAUUCGAAAGGACGGCAACUCUGCAUUCCAUCUUUGAUAAAAAUAAGUUGCUACAUCUAAACAAAACUGCCUUGUUGGUUUCAAGCCAAGCUGGGACCGUGAACUGCAACCUGGGGGGUAAGGGUGGAAAACAGAAGCUUUCAACAUUGGCUCACAGCAGCCUGUAAUGCUUUCCACCACCCCAACCCCUCCUCGGAAAACUUGACUAGAGCCAGUGGGACCAAAGGAAUAUGCACUUUUCUAAUGGGCUCUGAAAGAGGAUAGUUGCCAAGAAAGCCUUUCCCAGUGGGGCGGGGGCAGGGCGCCGGGACCAGCUUAACUCCCACAUUUGGCCGGGCCUCAGCAGCAGUGGUGGGCAGGCUCUGAAUGUGCUCUCAGCUAACCUUUUACCCUCCGAGCUGUGAGGCAAGCCUGCAAGCCCAAGGAUGAAGAUGGGCAUUCCUGAGGGAUCUCACAGACGCUGACUUGCACCCUUGCAUGUAAAAGGCUCACAGCUGUGCGAGGGCUGGUGCCUGUGGGGGUCUCUGGAAGGCUCAGGAAGGUGGGGUGAAGCCUUAGCCCCUUUAAACCCAGGACAUACAUUUGUCUGACGUGCUGAUAGCUGCUCAAAUUGUAGCAUCAGAUCACAUUUCUAAAAAAAUUAAAAAUAAAAAUGCAGCUAGUCCAAAAAUUGUUUGGAUAAAGCUUAGGGUCUGAAAAUGAUCUGGGAUGAGUGCAUAUGGCAUGUUUUAAAUGAAGAUAGCCAUCAUUGUUACCCUUGCUUAUUAUCAGCUUAUAGAAGAGGGGUGGGGGAGGCAGAGGGAGAGACCUAAGAGGUGGCUGAGUGGGUCGUUCAUUGAAUGCAUGGGAAAAUUGAGCCCAGGAAGAAGGGACUAGCCCAAGGUGUGACAGCCUCCCUGGAGAGGGAAGAGUAAAGCCAGAAUUAGAUUCAGGUUUCCUGCCCACCAGUCCAGAAACCCGCCCCACUGUAUCUGUAUGAGCAGAACGUUUUGAAAUACCAUCUGCAAGUGACUAAUAUUACCACCAAAGAUGGAUUUUCCUGUUGAGAGCCAGAGCUGCCCGCUGGUGAGUGAGUGGGGCAGUGUGUCAGAAUGCCCAGCACACAGCGUGGUUGAAUGCCAGGCUUGCUGCACUGUCGUUCCCUCUUGGAUUUGCUCACCACCCUGUACCCCCCUGGAAAAGAAGGAAUCUUGAUUUUGGAGUUCCAGGAGACAGGAGGCCGCUCGCAGGGGCCACACAGACUAGCAGAGGAAGAGGUGAGAAAAAUAAUGGCUUUUCUAAGCGUUAGAUAGGUGGUAUUUACUUGUGAGAGAGAUAUUUUCAUUUUAGAUGUUAGGCUUAGGGAACAAGAGAAGACGGUUCAGGCAGCUGUGGGUUCUAAGCUGUGGUGGGGAGCUUCUGGUCUCUUUCAUGGAGUUGGAGGGUACCUGCCAUCCCACCUUAUAGUCCUUGGCAGUGGACAGGGCACUUUCUGGUGCAUUGCAGCAUUUUGCCCUCACAUACUGCCUUAAGAUCCAGCUUAGAAGGACCUGGGUGGAAGGUCCAGGGACGAAGAGAGAGGAUUCAAGCGGUCAAUUUAGGAGACAUUUGCCUGGACCAUUAACUGUUAGAGACACAGGAUAUAGGAUAAACAAGCUUUCUGGAAAAUAGUACCUUUAGAGAAACAGAGCAGGAAGCUUAGAGGCCACGAGAGAACCGACUUUUCUUCUCAGCCACUGGCAAGAAUAAGAUUAGGUACAAGAGUCUCAGUUGUCCAGAGGAUGCAUCUGUGGCAGGGGAUGAGGAGGAA